CGAAAGGCAAGUGGGCCAGCGGCCAGGGGGCUUUCGGCCUUCCCUUCCCUUGCGCGGGCGGAGGAUUUUGGCCCAAGGAGCUUGGCUCCCUCCUUUUUUUUGCCGAUUCCUUUCGGAAUUUUACCACAUUUUGCUAAUUCUUGGUGGAUCUUUUUGCAAGUGAGAUGGCAGGACCCGAUGUCAAGCGUCCGGUUGGCGAGACGUUGAGGGGGUCUUCCGCGGCGCAGCUUGCGGCGAACCGACCGUCACGGAAGAAGAAGGUCUCCUUCCGCCCUCGUGGUGGCCCUCCCUUGGUUCCGACAGCGCCGGUGGAUGGCGGAGGUUGGGCACACGACCACCUUCUCCCUUCGUCGAUGAGCCCCGAGGAUCUUGCCCAGCUGGAGGAGGCAGGAUACUUCCCCAAGGGGGAUGGUAUCCUGCCCGAUGGCGAGGAGGUGAGGCUCGACCAGCGACGGUGUCCGGGAUGCAUCGUGGCAUUCUCGGCUUGGUUCCACGCUGGCCUGUGUGUACCUGUUCACCCCUUCUUGCUGGAGUUUCUGGAGAUGUACGGCAUCGAGUUGGCCUAGCUUCACCCGUCGACGAUCGUGAGGUUGAACAUUUUCAGGUGGCUGUGUGACACGGCGCUUCACGAGGAGCCUUCGAUGAAGCUUCUACUGUUCUACUUCACCGUGGAGGUGAGGGAGUUGCUCACCCCGGACGGCUUUGCUCUGAGCGUCUUUGGUUCGGUGAACCUGAGGCUUUGUUCCGGUUUUGGGGACGACUUCCUGCUCAUGCCGGGGAAGAGCGCGGAGAGGUUGUUCAUCAAGUGAGAGUCCUAGUGGUUUCUUCUUCGGGCCUCGAAGACCUGUUUUCGGCACACGGGUGAUCUUCCUCAGCACUCUAGGGUCGGUGGCCUUAGGGAGGUGUUUCACCCCGGCGAUCCUCGGUCGGCCGACCUUUGGAAGGUGGCCAAGAUCAAGGAGGUGUCCGCCGAGAGGAGCUCAUGGAGGAGAUGGUGAUGGCGGGGUGCUUCAUGAUGAGGAGCCACCCGAGGUCCGAGAUUGGGAUCCCUCGAUCUUUCCGUCCUCCACAGCUCGUCACCGCACCGACGUUUCCCGAGGAGAGGGCGGCGUUGUGGGCUGCGCAGCUGAUAGGUCCGUAUGGCAGACCGGAGCACCGCGACUACGAGACCAAGAUCAGCGAGGGGGGAUGCCACAACAUCAUCGCGAAGUGCUUCGCGAAGAUGGUGCCGAUGCGACAGGACCCGAAGCUUGGUCGCCUUCUCCGAAUGGGCGAUCGCUACUCCCGCUUGGCUACACCGUCGAUUUUGGCGGUGGGGUCCAAGUUACGGGACUCUUGCGGGAAGGCGAAGGUGGGAAUGGCGGUGCUAGGCUUGGCGGUGCCUGUCGUGCCGGUCCCCAAGAUCCCUCGUUCGUCGAGUGGAUGCAAGAGGAAGGCUCCCCCGACUCCUUCUCCUUCUCUUGACUACGCCCCGACGGAUUCGGCGGAUCCCGUCAUGGGCGAGUUGAGGCCCCCCCUGAGGGUGACCUUGGACCUGCACAUGAAGGGGAAGAUUGGACUUGAGAAAGUUCUUCCUCCUUCAAGUCACGAGGUUGAGGCUUUCACUCGCGAGAUGGGCUUCAGCUUCGGAGCGACUCAGUGGUAGAGUUGUCGACCGGAACCAACGGUGCGGGCGUCCAAGUGUUCUCCAUUGGUCGCGAGCGUCCCGAGGAGGAUGGUCCUACCUCGGGUGCGAGGGCCGCGAAAUCUGGGGUUCUUGAUGGCGAGACCCCAACUCAAGCGAGAGAUGGAGCACUCCCGACGACCGAGGAUGGAGCGAGAGGCCCUUUCGCGACACUGGAGCUGGUGAG